GGGAGCACUCCUAGUGCAAUAAAGUUACUACAAUAAGUAAAAGCUGAAAAAUAUUUCUUUAAGUAAAAAACUCACAAGUUUGGAGUGGUAUGAGCCCCACUCCUGGCAAUCUCGCCCAGGGAGGAUCAGCCACUUGGGUACGUGGGAUCCGAGACAAGCUCUUGUGACCAGGUGGUAAGUUGGCAAAAUUUAUUGGUUGUAUAAACC